CUCACUCCCGGUGGGCGGGGCGAGAGCUGAGCUGGGAGAAGAGGCCGGGCGGCAGCUGCGCGCAUGCGCAGAAGAGAACUGAGGGAUCGGGCGCGGUGGUCGGCCUGGCUUAAGAUAUUUGAGACAAGAUGCAGGACCCCAAUGCAGACACUGAGUGGAAUGACAUCUUACGCAAAAAGGGCAUCUUGCCUGCAAAGGAAGGUUUGAAGGAACUGGAAAAGGAGGCAGAAGAGGAAGAGCAGCGAGUGCUUGAGCAGUCAGUUGUGAAAACAUAUGAAGAUAUGACUCUGGAAGAAUUGGAGGAUAAUGAAGAUGAAUUUAAUGAGGAAGAUGAACGAGCUAUUGAAAUGUACAGGCAGCAGAGACUGGCUGAAUUGAAAGCAGCUCAGCUGAGGAAUAAAUUUGGAGAAGUUUUGGAGAUCUCAGGAAAGGAUUAUGUUCAGGAAGUUACCAAAGCCGGAGAGGGCUUGUGGGUGAUCUUGCACCUUUACAAACAAGGGAUUCCCCUCUGUUCCCUGAUAAACCAGCACUUCAGUGGACUUGCCAGGAAGUUUCCUGACGUCAAAUUUAUCAAAGCCAUUUCAACAACCUGCAUCCCCAAUUAUCCUGAUAGGAAUCUGCCCACAAUAUUUGUUUACCUUGAAGGUGAUAUCAAGGCUCAAUUUAUUGGACCUCUAGUAUUUGGUGGCAUGAACCUGACAAUAGAUGAGUUGGAGUGGAAAUUGUCUGAGUCUGGAGCAAUCAAGACAGACCUGGAGGAAAACCCUAAGAAGCCAAUUGAAGACGUCUUGCUGUCCUCGGUGCGCAGCUCCGUCCCCAUGCGCAGGGGUAGCGAUUCUGAGGAUGACUGAGCUGUGCUGCGGUACUGUCCUGCCCUGCCCGGUGACCUCUUGGUUCCUGGGUUGAUGCUCAACCACUGAGCCACACCGGCCGGGCCUGAGCUUUCUUGAUGUGACAGAUGAUCCGGAUUUUUUUUAAAAAGGAAAAAAAACAUGUCCUGAUGAAAGUGAUUUUGUCCUGCUAUGGAAACCAGUUGUUACUCAUAAAUACAGCCUUUGGACAAGUGGCUUUCAACACAUAUUCUUGAUACUGUUCACAUUUACACAGCAGAUGGUGCAGGCCCUCUACCCUCUGCACACUGCCCCCCACUCAGCAACUCCACUGGAGACCUUGUCACUUGUGUGCUACGAGGACUCCCCUUGGCUUUCAGUCUCACCACCCCAUGCCCAUCCUUGUCUUCUCUUUCUGUUUGACCCUCUCCUCUCCCAUAGUCUUUAGGACUUUGUUCCAAUAAAUCAUCUUGAUUUCAGUCUCUCCCUAGAUGCACAGCGUUAGGCAGUAAGAGUGUUUGGGUCCUGUGGCAGAGACUGCUGUUUGCCUACCAAGUAUCCAGAAUUAUCUAGUUCCACUCAAGCAGCAACGGGACCAGCUAAAGGAUCAAACUCCCAGCCUCCCUUGGAGCUACAGAUUGCCAGAGGGAGGUGGGCACAAGUUUCAUAAGAGAAACACACAGGCAUGUGCCCCUUUUGGACUUAAUCCCCUUCUACUUUCUGACUAAAGCAUCCAUGUGAUUGCAGCCUACUUAGCAUAACAUUCCUGAUGACAUUGUGGGGCCAAUACAACCCAGCUCCUGACUGCCCUCGUAGACUUCUGUUAUUGCAAAAGGAGUAACUUCCAUCCUGGUUUCUCUUAGUAGCAGCUGCAGCAUUUCCCAAUAAAGCUACCAGGCCACCGCAAAAAAAAAAAAAACAACAACAACAGUUAUCUUAGCUUUCUACUCCCCACUUUUCAAAUUGCUUGACCAACAGAAGAACAUCUGUAUUCCUGUCUCUACUUCGUCAUUGCCUUCCAGUAACUUCAUGAGUUAGAAUUUAGGACUUCCAUUUCCAGUGUGUGAAGAACUAGGUACUUGGAGGGGGUAUGGAUGCAAAAGGGGCCAUACUAAACCUGGCAAGCACAGGGGAUGCCUGCAUGGCUUGCAUGGCUGGUCUUACAAACUCAGAGGCUGAAAGUAACCACAAAAGAUGGUCUGAAAUGAAAACUUCACUAAACAAGUCAUGGCGAGUAGUCAUGCCCUAAGCCUGUAUCUUCCUUUACAAAGAUCAGUCUUUACCUUAACCAAGCCUGUCUAAUCUUUUUGUAUCUAUGAUAACAUACCUUGGGAAUGUCAGUGUAACUUCCCCUUUUCAGGACCCCUUACUACACCAGAGCAGAGACCACAAAACCGAUCAUUGUUAUUGUGUUAAUUGUUAAUUAUCCUAUACCCACCAAUGUAAAAGAAGUAUGUGUCUAUUUGUUUUAUGCAAUCCCAGAGAUUUCCCCGCUUUACUUUCUCCCACCUCCCUAAUCUAUCACCACUGGGUUUCAUGUAACCCUCCUUAUGCCUCAUCCUUUGAUUGUAAUGUAUAAAAUGAGGUGCAAAACUGCCAUUCUCUGGAGCAUUUUCUCAGUCUGUUGAGAUUUUGCUUCCUGGCAAUUGUCAUCAGUUUGACUCAAAUAAACUCAUAAA